rnacentral:rRNA from 1 species
GAUGAACGUUGGCGGCGUGCCUAAUACAUGCAAGUCGAACGAAGACUGUAGUAAUACUGUCUUAGUGGCAACGGGUGAGUAACGCGUGGGUGACCUGCCCCGAAGUGUGGGAUAACAGUUCGAAAGGAUUUGCUAAUACUGCAUAAUAUCCAAGAGAUUAGACGCUUUUGGAUUAAAGGAGUAAUUCGCUUCGGGAGGGGCCCGCGUCCCAUCAGCUAGUUGGUAAGGUAAUGGCUUACCAAGGCGAUGACGGGUAGGGGACCUGAGAGGGUGGCCCCCCACAAUGGAACUGAAACACGGUCCAUACACCUACGGGUGGCAGCAGUAGGGAAUAUUAGUAAUGGGCGAAAGCCUGAACUAGCAACGCCGCGUGUGCGAAGAAGGCCUUCGGGUUGUAAAGCACUUUUUGAGAGGAUGAGGAAGGACGGUACUCUCAGAAUAAGUCUCGGCUAACUACGUG